rnacentral:rRNA from 1 species
AUGCAAGUCGAGCGGGGGAAGGUAGCUUGCUACCGGACCUAGCGGCGGACGGGUGAGUAAUGCUUAGGAAUCUGCCUAUUAGUGGGGGACAACAUCUCGAAAGGGAUGCUAAUACCGCAUACGUCCUACGGGAGAAAGCAGGGGAUCUUCGGACCUUGCGCUAAUAGAUGAGCCUAAGUCGGAUUAGCUAGUUGGUGGGGUAAAGGCCUACCAAGGCGACGAUCUGUAGCGGGUCUGAGAGGAUGAUCCGCCACACUGGGACUGAGACACGGCCCAGACUCCUACGGGAGGCAGCAGUGGGGAAUAUUGGACAAUGGGGGGAACCCUGAUCCAGCCAUGCCGCGUGUGUGAAGAAGGCCUUAUGGUUGUAAAGCACUUUAAGCGAGGAGGAGGCUACUUUAGUUAAUACCUAGAGAUAGUGGACGUUACUCGCAGAAUAAGCACCGGCUAACUCUGUGCCAGCAGCCGCGGUAAUACAGAGGGUGCGAGCGUUAAUCGGAUUUACUGGGCGUAAAGCGUGCGUAGGCGGCUUAUUAAGUCGGAUGUGAAAUCCCCGAGCUUAACUUGGGAAUUGCAUUCGAUACUGGUGAGCUAGAGUAUGGGAGAGGAUGGUAGAAUUCCAGGUGUAGCGGUGAAAUGCGUAGAGAUCUGGAGGAAUACCGAUGGCGAACGCAGCCAUCUGGCCUAAUACUGACGCUGAGUACGAAAGCAUGGGGAGCAA